UCUUCUAAAAACCCUCUCAAGAACCUUCCAAAAACCUCUCAGCUUCUCUUAUAAGAAGUCUUCUGCAAUCUCCGAAAACUCGAACCAGCAUUCGAAAUUCGAGCAUUCUUCUCUACGAUUUUCUUCGUCGGCUUCGUGGAAAAGUGAUUUCAGAAUUUCUGAAGACCCGUUUCGAAGUGGGAAUCCACAGGCAUAAGCCAUGGUGACAAUGCUUUCGUCUGUGGCCUUCGGCUUCAAUCCGGGCGUUGCCUUUUCUUACAUUGAUUAAAGGCUUCAAGAUGUUUCGGGCCAUUUCCAGAAGGAUUUCGAGAGAGAGAUUUCUGCAGAUAAUCUGGGGCCAAAAUUUGGUCAGUAUAGAUCAUUUUUACCAAUGCUUCUAAGGAAUCCUCUUACACAAUCACAACCAAAGAGUCUUGCGAGUGUACAGAGUAGCAAUAUCCCCAAAUUGCUUAAGAAAUUUGAGAAUACUUCACUUUCUCCCGCUUCUGAUUUUCUUUGCUUAAAAGAAAAAGACAAUCCUUCCACAAGGAGUAGUAAGAUAAGGAUUGAUUAUGGUGAAACAAAAUUACAGAAGCCUACUCAAGAUUCGAAGAGAAUUGGGCCAUCACUUGCAUUUGAAGGUGACUCAUUUAUUCUAGAAAAAAAAGUACACAAGUAGUAUGUGAAGCUAAAAUUGUCAAAAUGUUGUUGUAAAGGUUAGCUUUUUUCUGAAUAUAUUUAAUUUGCUGUGUUCUUAUUGGAAUAUAUUUUCCUUAUGUCUUGUUUUCCAUCCAUUUUUAGUUAUUUUUUUAGAU